CCAUACUGAGGAGUAUUACUGCCAGUGUCAACUGUCAUGUGACGCAUUCAUGUCUAAAAUUAUUGUCAAAAAUAAAAUUUUUAGGGUAAAUUUAAGACAAUGUGUUACUAUUACGAAAGGUGUUAAUUAAUGAUGCAUGCUGACACAGAAGGUUAGUUUCAAUCAUAAAUGUAUAUUAUGAAUCGUUAGGAAUGAAACAAGUGUUUUUAUAUAUAUUUUGUUACUUAGGCUGAGGAUGGAUGAUAUAUUAGCAGGGAGAGGAGCCCCAUUAUCAACCAACAUGUCAUAAAAAGAAGGAGAUGAGUAACGGGGACAGCUAAAAAGUAUAUGUGGAACGGUUCCCUCAUCCAGGCCACACUCACAUAUAGACGAGUCUCUUAUGUGUAAUUUAUAUAAGUGCACUGGAGACGAGCAAUGACCAAUUCUCAACCGAGAUAUGGUGGCAGAGAUAUGUUUGCUGAAACGUAAUUUGGAAAACCAAGGCCUAGAAGUUAUGUAAGGUUGAAUUUUGUACAGGUUACCUCCUUUAAGGGUACUAGAGUUCCUCCAACUGGUGUUCCAUGCCAGCUCUAGGUCUUGUUUGGCCAAAGUAGAAAGGUCAAAAGAAUACACUGAGAAGUACUCAUCGUUACCAUGAACAAUAGCAUCUUUGGCUAAUUGAUCUACUGUUUCAUUACCUUUAAUACCUAUAUGGCCUGGAAUCCAAGCCACCGACACUUGAAUGUGUUCUACAUUACAUAAUUUAAUCAAAUGCUUAAUUUCUAGAGACAGUGGGUGAAUACAAUUUUUAGCAAAAGGGUUGCUAAGAAGAGACUGGACACAACUUUUAGAGUCGGAAAAAAUUAUAGAAGGCGAAAUAUUGUUAACUCUGAUGUAUUUAAUACAUUCCCUAAUAGCUAAAAAUUCACCAGAAAAUACCGAACAAUAGUGUGGAAAUUUAUAUGAAAAGGAUAUAUUGGCAUUCCAGUGUAAAAAAGCAACACCAACAGGGCUUUCUUUACUUAAUUUAUUUAGAGGCAUCUGUGAAAAAAAUCUUAGCUUGGGGCCAACGUUUCUGAAUAAUGAGUUUUAAUUUAGAAUCUGGAUUAGCAGUCUGUUUAUCUAUACCAAGAGAUAACUCCACAGAAGGGGUUGAAAUUUUAGAGCUAAACUCAACUGAAAAUGCUGGAUGUAUUUUAAAUUUAUUAAUAGCACAAGAUAUACCUUCUAGCCUCCUGUAACUUUCAAUAAGACAGGGGAGGCAGCAAAAGGGUGGCAAAAUCUAAAUGACUCCUCACAAUAGCAUUAUAUAAUAAUCUGAGGGAGUAAGGAUGUGCUCCCCACCAGACACCCCUUAAACAUCGCAAAAUAUUAAUGUUGCUCUCACAUUUAUUAACAAUAUGGUCUAUGUGCGCUACACCGUUCAUUCUACUGUCAAAUAUUUUACCCAAAAAUUUUACCUCUUUCUUUACUGGAAUUAGGGUCCCAUUGCACUCAACAUCAAUAUGGGGUAUCUGACGUUUUCUAGAAAAGACAACGACUACACUUUUGGAGGCUGAUAGGUCUAAAUAAUUAUUAUUCAGCCAUGAGGAUAGUACAGUCAUGCCACUUUCAAUAUUAUCCUUUGCUACGCUUAUAGAAUUAUUAGAAGAAUAAAUAAGGAGGUCAUCAGCAUACUGUAAGAUAUUACACCCAUCCGAUAUGUGAUGAUCUAUAUCGGUAGUGUAAACAUCAUACAGCAGAGGGCUGAUUACAGAACCUUGAGGUAAUCCUUUCCAUACAGUUCUAGUGGCAGCUUGAAUGCCUGGAUGUCUCAAUGAUAUAGUCCUACCUGAUGAGAGGUUAAAAAGAAAAUUUGUUAUCUUUUCAGGAACCCUUAGCUGAACUAAUUUGUUCCUAAGGACCCAAAGAUUAACAUUAUCAUAUGCCGCUGAAACAUCGAGGAAGCCAGCUACCACUGACUUGUUUUGACUAAAUGCCAACUGAAUGUUAGUAGUGAAAAUGGCAUGACUAUCGGAAAUACUCCGGCCUUUCCUGAAUCCAUAUUGAGAAUCUGCCAGUAAAGAAUGGUGCUCUAGGAACCAUUCUAAUCUGUUUUUUAUCAAGUGUUCUACUACUUUGGGCAUGGUAGAUGAGAGCGCUAUAGGCCGAUAUGAAAGUGAAUUACAAGGGUCUUUCCCUGGUUUGGGAACGGGUACAAUUAAUUGAUGUUUCCAAUUUUCCGGAAUAACUCCAGAAUCAACAAUUAAAUUAAUCAAGUUUAAAAAAUAACUAAGGGAACUAUUCCGGGAUUUUGAAAGAAAGGAAUAAGGGAUACCAUCAGGACCAGGGGAAGAGUCCCUGAUAUGGCUGAGUACUAAUUUUAAUUCUUGAAAAGUAUAAGGGGAGUCUAAAAUAGAAGAAAUAGCCCGGGGGGAAUAUAAAUAGGGAAUUUGAUAGAAAUUAGGAACUGAAGGGGGGAGCUAGCCUGUCUAAAAAAAUCAUCUACCCAGCUUAUUGAGUAGGAAGAAAGGGAACGGUGAUUACGAGACAAUCUAUAAUACUUCAUUUUUUUCCAAACGAGAGACGAAGGAGUUUCAGGCGUUAUAGACGCACAAAAUGUGCGCCAGCCUUGACGUUUUUUUUUACUUAAAAGUCUUUUCGUAGCAGCACUCGCAUUACGAUAGUUUAGGAAAGAGUCAAGGUUAAUGUCAGUGGAACAGAGUGCUUCUGCUUCAUAUCUCCUUUUAAUAGAAUCAGUACACUCUGAAUCCCACCAGGGGGGGGAAGGGAUUUUGCCUAAGACAACAUUUUUUUUAUUAAAUAUCGCCUCUGCAGAAGCAAGUAUAGAAUCUUUAAAUCCCUCACAACAUUCUUUAAUAUUAGAUAACUGAGGUUCAGGAAGCAAAUUCGUUUUUUCUUCAAGUAAAGCGCCAUAGAGACCCCAUUUAGAAGAAUCUAUGAUGUAAGGUAGAAGAGGAGGAAGAAUAGGAACAUUAAUAUUUUGAGAAGGAAAUGAAAUUAGGAUAGGAAAAUGGUCGGAACCAUGAGAGUAAGGAAGACGUGACCACGAUAAUAAGGAAGCUAAAGAGGGAGAGCAAAAAGAGAUGUCAACAUAACUGGGUUGAAUAUUGGGCGGAGUGCGGCGAGUAGGGGACCCAUCAUUUAACACACAUAGGUCAAAUUCGUCUAGGAGAUCCAAAAGUCUGUUACUGAAAGAGUCAUUAUUUGGAGCACCCCAGAUCUGGUUGUGGCAAUUGAAAUCACCCAUUAAUAAUAUAGGAGGGGAAACAGAAGAUAAAAAUCUACGUAACGUGGGAAUAACCGAGUUAUCCCGUCUCGAAAUAUAUACAGAAAUAAAAGAAA
rnacentral:lncRNA from 1 species